CCAUCUGUAUCACCAGAUGAACCUAGGAGCCUGAAUAAAGUAGCGGCUCUGACAAUGUAACGAAGGUUGGCAUUUGCCAAUCGGGAUUGAAAUCGUGAGAGGACGGUCCUCCUGAUAACCACAUAAAUCGGGUGAGUGC
rfam:Enterovibrio nigricans DSM 22720 genome assembly, contig: BP91DRAFT_scaffold00017.17